UACAGCCAUAUCACGUUGAAACACUGUUUCCCGUACGAUCACUGAAGUUAAACAACGGCGAGCCUGGUUAUUACCUAGAUGAGUAACCGCUUGGGAAUCUUGGGA